GAUGAACGCUGGCGGCGUGCCUAAUACAUGCAAGUCGAGCGAACAGACGAGGAUCUUGCUCCUCUGCCGUUACCGGCGGACGGGUGAGUAACACGUGGAUAACCUACCUAUAAGACUGGGAUAACUUCGGGAAACCGGAGCUAAUACCGGACAAUAUAUUGAACCGCAUGGUUCAACAGUGCAAGACCGUUUUGCUGUCACUUAUAGGUGGAUCCGCGCCGCAUUAGCUAGUUGGUAAGGUAACGGCUUACCAAGGCAACGAUGCGUAGCUGACCUGAGAGGGUGAUCGGCCACACUGGAACUGAGACACGGUCCAGACUCCUACGGGAGGCAGCAGUAGGGAAUCUUCCGCAAUGGGCGAAAGCCUGACGGAGCAACGCCGCGUGAGUGAUGAAGGUCUUCGGAUUGUAAAACUCUGUUAUUAGGGAAGAACAAAUGUGUAAGUAACUAUGCACGUCUUGACGGUACCUAAACAGAAAGCCACGGCUAACUACGUG
rnacentral:rRNA from 1 species